ensembl:lncRNA
CUUUCGCUUCUAGGAGCACCUUUCGUGGCAGACAGCACCUGCUGCCCAUGUUGAUGUGUCUCACCGCUCUGCUGCCACACGAAUUGAAACCACAGGAAGGGGAGCCCCAGGUCAACAGAGUUGCUGGAAGACAAGGUCAUUAGCCCCAGCAUCCUCCUGCGGGCAUGCAUGGCAGCAAGAAUUGAAAGGAUGAUGUAUUGCACUCUAAGGGAAGGAGGAUUGUGGUCCUGGUGCCUACAGACAUACCUCACAGUGACAGAGCAAGAGCUAUUUUUGAAAAAUGCAUUUUGAUUCAGUCUAUGCUCCUGACUUGGAACUAGGAGUCAUUCAGUUUGCAGAACAUUCCAGCCAUCUUUCCAGAGAGAGUGAAGGAGGACAGUCAGAACAGAGCACCUACCCACUGAACCUGAAAGCAUGUGUUCUGGACCAGUUAAAUUCCACCCCAGCAGCUCAUCACAGGGCUGUUGGCCCUGCCAGGCAAGGCUGAGCACAGUCUGUGGGCAGUACAGCGUGCACGGUGGAUGCUCUGAAACCCAGACAACGAGAAAAGUCCUUGUACUAAGAUGUUGACAACUCGUAUUAGAGUGAGUAAUGUGCUGGGAUGCAUGCCAGCCUCCUAGACCUUCACGUUAUGGCUGCAGCGUAAGCAAUUUCAAUGCCAGUUAAUUGCACUUGAAAACACUGUGGUGGUUGUGGUAUCUAAACACAGAAUAGGCGGAGAUGUGGAGUAAUGCCUCGGGACAUGGUGACUUUAGUGUGAAGGAAUCAAUGAAGGACUUUGAAGUCUACCCUUGUUUUCUUUGAAUAGCUUUCUCUUCUAUCUCAUGCUGGCACUAAUUCAACAGAUAUUGGUUUCUGUUGUUUUUUUAAUGCUAAAACCCAGGGAUUUGGUUGUCAUAAGACUGCUGGCAUGCAGUUCUCAGCCUCUAACAUAUAGAGUGGUUAUGGCUGACCUGCAGCAGCUUAUUACUUAACCACUUCUGCAUCUACCUUAAUGCUUACAUACUGCAGAAAUGGCACUUUGUCAUGUUUGUACUUACCCUCUUCUUAAACACAGUUACUCCAAAGAUGAGGACUGCAGUGCCUACUUAGUGUAAAGGAAGGAUGGGGGAGGCACUGGGAUCAGAGUGCUGUCUGUCUCACUUUAUGUCCUGCUAGGUGGCCCUUUGCAUCUCUGAGCCUAAUUUUCCUACCCUCUGUGAAAAGCUGUAACUUUUUAGGGUACUUUGGGAGAUCUGCAGAAGAAAAACUUUGAGGCAUGCAAAUAAUUCUAUGGUGCAUUUGUUUAUUUUUUAUAUGGUUAUUUAUUUUAUUUGUGUGGUUAUUUGUUUAUUUGCUUAUUCUAUUAUGCAAAUAAUAGUAAUGCAGAUAGUUCUAUGCUGUGUCUCUCAGUAGACGUCAUCAGGCUUGUCCAGAAUCUCUUCCAGAACAUGUACAGAAUCCUUCAUGCUAGCAUCAGUGGCAGCUGAGAACAGUAAAUGAAAGUUUAGCUCAAAGAUUCUGGAGACUAAGAGGUAUGCUUUCCUUUCCAGUAAAAUAUGACAUCGUUUUCAUAAAGCCCUCACUGUAAUAAAGCAGUAGUUCUCUCCACAAGCUGUUCGCCUUAGUGGGCGGCCUUUUUCAUGCAAUGGGAUGUGCUUUGGAUGCUCUUCUCUGUUGAUAUAUCCCAGCUGUUUCUGUGCCUUCGUGUCACAGCUGGAGAAGGCUUGAGGACAUGGUCCUGCUGCCAUUGUCCUGUCCUGCUUGCACAAGGGAGUUUUGACACAGCAUGUUAAAGCUGUCCCCAGCAGAAGGAGAAGAACAUGGCUGCAUGCUAGCCAGUGCCAGCAUCUCAUCAGUCUAUAUGGGCUCAUGUGCAGCAGAGGCUGCAGCUGUGUUUUCUCACUGUAGCAGACACAAAAUAAUGAGUCACUUUUCAGGACCUUCCAAGCAAAGCUGAGUUUACCUUAAUUGCUCUCUAUUUUUCUUUCAGUGUAUUUUGCUAAAUAUUCGUGAAUCAACUAUGUCCACAAAUGUGAGCAAAUAUAGUUUAUUUUCUUUAGGAAUAUUCCACUUGACAUCAUUGCUAGAGAUAACAUUCAGGUCUGUCUUAUUUAUUUCUGCAGGAAAUAGAGCCUGCGUUACUUACAGAAUAGAUCUUAAAAUUGGCAGUAUCUUUUUGCUGAGUCUGAUGUAUGUUUGUUGGAGAGUUCAUCUUGCAGCAUAAAACAAAGGAGGUUCGGAAAU